AGCGAACGCUGGCGGCAGGCCUAACACAUGCAAGUCGAACGAACUCUUCGGAGUUAGUGGCGGACGGGUGAGUAACACGUGGGAACGUGCCCUUUGGUACGGAAUAACUCAGGGAAACUUGAGCUAAUACCGUAUGUGCCCUUCGGGGGAAAGAUUUAUCGCCAUUGGAGCGGCCCGCGUCUGAUUCGCUAGUUGGUGAGGUAAAGGCUCACCAAGGCUACGAUCAGUAGCUGGUUUGAGAGGAUGAUCAGCCACAUUGGGACUGAGACACGGCCCAAACUCCUACGGGAGGCAGCAGUGGGGAAUCUUGCGCAAUGGGCGAAAGCCUGACGCAGCCAGGCCGCGUGAAUGAUGAAGGUCUUAGGAUUGUAAAAUUCUUUCACCGGGGACGAUAAUGACGGUACCCGGAGAAGAAGCCCCGGCUAACUUCGUG
rnacentral:rRNA from 1 species